AUCGUCAUGCUGGCAUCUGAGGAAGUGGAAGGCCACAAAGAGAAGGAAUUGAGGAGUUUGGAUAUCUUCCAUCAUAACUAGAAGUAAAAAGCUGAAAACUGAAAGUCAGCAGCUCUUCUUGAAUCUUGAGAUAACAUGUCAAGCCACUGCCCUACAAAGUAAAGGUAGACAAGUAGAUGCAGAGGUUCCCAGUUCCUGUGAACAGAAACCUCAAUGUCAGCCCUAGCCAGGAUCCAAAUGUGUAACUGAUAAAGGGCUAGAGGCUCGAUGGAUAAAGAACACAGAUGAGAUGCCUGGUAGAGUGACAACCACAGAAUGGCUAUGCAACAACGAAUUACUGAAAUUAAAGAAUCAGAGCUAGAAUUUAACACAUGGGAAUUGUGCUUGCAAGUGAAUGCAGGAAGGUUAAUGGUGAACACGAGAAAGCAGCCCAGACGGUCACUGUUUUGUCCUUCAUAGUGCUCAUUAGUGUGUGAGAAAUCUGUGUCAGAGACCUGAGGACCUGAGAGGACAGCAUCGGUUCAAAAUCUGGGAACUGUCCCAAGCAUGUGUUAGGAUGCAAAUUAAUUUGAGCCUUGUUUCCCCUGCUCUUGCCACUGGGAGCACAUUGGGUGGGAAGGUUAAUUCAGUGCAGCCUUAUCUCCCGUGGGCACUGCUGGGGAGCCUUGGAAUCAUUUUGUUUCUCAUCUCUGAAAAUGGAAUGUGCUUUGCCACACUGAUGAGUAGGGGAGGAAAGAGGUCAACCUGGAGAGAUUAGGAUGCUUACCAAGGCUCCCUGUGCUGCAAGGGGUUAUUAAGGCUCCCUGUGCGAAGUGAGAGGCUGCGGUUAGUUGUAGUUCUGAGGAGCUGUGUGUGUAAGGCUUUCUGUGCAGCUGGAGGACAUUGCUGAAGUCCCCCUUCCCUGACUGCUGCUUCCAAAGAGAACAUCCACACAUGAGCAUGUAUCUGACACUGAAGACGACCAAGAUCAAGUUCAGCCAAAGGGGAACAAAAUGCAUACACUUUUCAAGC
rnacentral:lncRNA from 1 species